AUUGAACGCUGGCGGCAUGCCUUACACAUGCAAGUCGAACGGCAGCGGGGGAGAAGCUUGCUUUUCCUGCCGGCGAGUGGCGAACGGGUGAGUAAUACAUCGGAACGUGCCCUGUAGCGGGGGAUAACUAGUCGAAAGAUUAGCUAAUACAGCAUACGACCUGAGGGUGAAAGUGGGGGACCGCAAGGCCUCAUGCUAUAGGAGCGGCCGAUGUCUGAUUAGGUAGUUGGUGGGGUAAAGGCCUACCAAGGCGACGACCAGUAGCUGGGCUGAGAGGACGAUCAGGCACACGGGGACUGAGACACGGCCCAGACUACUACGGGAGGCAGCAGUGGGGAAUUGUGGAAAAUGGGCGAAAGCCGGAGCCAGCAAUGGCGCAUGUGUGAAGAAGGCCAUCGGGUUGUAAAGCACUUUUGUCCGGAAAGAAAUGGCUCUGGUUAAUACCUGGGGUCGAUGACGGUACCGGAAGAAUAAGGGCCGGCUAACUACGUGCCAGCCGCCGCAGUAACAC
rnacentral:rRNA from 1 species